rnacentral:misc_RNA from 1 species
AGCGGCCGCGGUAAUUCCAGCUCCAAUAGCGUAUAUUAAAGUUGUUGCAGUUAAAAGCUCGUAGUUGAAUUUCGGGGUUAGUAGGUUGGUCAUGCCUCUGGUAUGUACUGGUCUCACUGAUUCCUCCUUCCCUAUGAACCGUAAUGCCAUUAAUUUGGUGUUGCGGGAAAUUUGGACUGUUACUUUGAAAAAUUAGAGUGUUUAAAGCAAGCUAAACGCUUGAAUACAUUAGCAUGGAAUAAUGAAAUAGGACGUUCGAUCUUAUUUUGUUGGUUUCUAGGAUUGACGUAAUGAUUAAUAGGGAUAGUUGGGGGCAUUAGUAUUCAAUUGUCAGAGGUGAAAUUCUUGGAUUUAUUGAAGACUAAUACUGCGAAAGCAUUUGCCAAG